rnacentral:rRNA from 1 species
CCUACGGGCGGUGCAGUGGGGAAUAUUGGACAAUGGGGGCAACCCUGAUCCAGCAAUGCCGCGUGUGUGAAGAAGGCCUUCGGGUUGUAAAGCACUUUCGAUGGAGAAGAAAAGCUCGGUGUUAAUACCGCCGAGUCUUGACGUUACCCAGAGAAGAAGCACCGGCUAACUCUGUGCCAGCAGCCGCGGUAAUACAGAGGGUGCAAGCGUUAAUCGGAAUUACUGGGCGUAAAGCGCACGUAGGUGGUUUGGUAAGUUGGAUGUGAAAUCCCCGGGCUUAACCUGGGAACUGCAUUCAAUACUGCUUGACUAGAGUAUGGUAGAGGGAAGCGGAAUUCCACAUGUAGCGGUGAAAUGCGUAGAUAUGUGGAGGAACAUCAAUGGCGAAGGCAGCUUCCUGGACUAAUACUGACACUGAGGUGCGAAAGCGUGGGUAGCAAACAGGAUUAGAUACCUGGUAGUC